GGGGGGGGGGGGGGGGGGGGGGGGCGGGGGGGGGGCGGGCGGGGGGGGGGUGCGUGGGUGGGGGGCGCGAGUGGCGGACGGGGGAGUAGCGCGGGAGUGACCUGCCCUUGGCGUGGGGAUAACUUCAGGAGCCUGGGGCUAAUACCGGCUCGGAGCGCCUGCUGCCUGGUGGGGGUUGGCACGUUUCGGCGGUUGGGGAUGGACGCGCGGCUUAUCAGCUUGUUGGUGGGGUAGUGGCUUACCAAGGGUUUGACGGGUAGCCGGCCUGAGAGGGUGACCGGCCACAUUGGGACUGAGAUACGGCCCAGACUCCUACGGGAGGCAGCAGUGGGGAAUAGUGCACAAUGGGCGGAAGCCUGAUGCAGCAACGCCGCGUGCGGGAUGACGGCCUUCGGGUUGUAAACCGCUUUCGCCUGUGACGAAGCGUGAGUGACGGUAAUGGGUAAAGAAGCACCGGCUAACUACGUG
rnacentral:rRNA from 1 species